UUCGAGCAUAACACCAGUUCUGCAGCCUCUACCACUUUAGACUGAAGAAUGACAGAUCACUGAUUCUGACCUAUGCAUCCUACCUACACAAGGUCUCUUCUGUCUCUGGUGUGUUGAGAAACUAGUCCAGAACUUUAGCUCAUGUGCGUGGUAUCUAAAGAGGCAAGUGCAAUUGUUGGUCCUAAAGUCAGUCUCAAAUUCUGAGCAACAGUGGAAGUGGGAUUAGGGUGAAAGUAGGGCCUGGUUCAGAUUAAAGCCUUUUACUUGGAAAACUUCCUUUCUGGGUUUAGCUUGUAGCAGCUCUUUGGUCUUCAGUUUCAAGGUCUCUCCCCACCCAUGAAGCACCACCACUGUCAGGCCUUACCCAUAGGGUAGACUCAGGAGCCCAACUCUACUCCUGUUCCCAGAAAGGAUUGGAAAAAUCCUGGCUUGUCUCCCUGCAUCCAUGUUAAUGAAAUAAACACAUAUAGAAGAGAACAAAGGAUAUUUAUGUGGGAAUUUUGGAUUGAAGAGCACUUAAAAAAGGAAAAACCACAAAAUUCCAAGGUAAAAUAUGCACAAAGAGUAAAAUCACUGUCUAAAAGAGAAAGUGUGAGAAAUCAGAACACCCUGAAUGGAAAUUACUGCAAGAGCUGCACUCUUCAGAAGCAAGCUGCCCACAGAAAAGUAUUAGAAUAUGGUGUCAUUCCAAGUAUGUGGGAAAGCUGUGCAUAGAACAUAAAUGUAGCAGCUAUCCUAAAGAACAUCUGGCAGUGCUCAGUAACCUUUGGGUUAUGCAUUUUCCAUGGUAUAGUUGUAUUCUUGGGUAUCUGUCCUAGACAGAUUCUCUCCGUAUUCUGUGACUACUAUAUUUGAUGAUGGCCACCAAGUGGUAAUCUGACUGUCCAUGGGUGGAUGUACAGUGGAGUGAGGCAAACUGUCACAGUCCCAUCAGAGGAUAAUAUGCUGGAUUUGGAAGAGGCAGGUGAAAUGUGUGUAAAAGAUCAUAGAAACAUACAAAUGAAUAAAAAGUAAUAAAAA
rnacentral:lncRNA from 1 species